UGCAAGGAUAGCUUGUUGACCUCAGGAAC
rnacentral:piRNA from 1 species